GACGGACGCUGGCGGCGUGCUUAACACAUGCAAGUCGAACGGAAAGGCCCCAGCUUGCUGGGGUCCUCGAGUGGCGAACGGGUGAGUAACACGUGGGUGAUCUGCCCUGCACUCUGGGAUAAGCCUGGGAAACUGGGUCUAAUACCGGAUAGGACCGUGCUUUAGUGUGUGCGGUGGAAAGUUUUUCGGUGCAGGAUGAGCCCGCGGCCUAUCAGCUUGUUGGUGGGGUAAUGGCCUACCAAGGCGGCGACGGGUAGCCGGCCUGAGAGGGUGUACGGCCACAUUGGGACUGAGACACGGCCCAGACUCCUACGGGAGGCAGCAGUGGGGAAUAUUGCACAAUGGGCGCAAGCCUGAUGCAGCGACGCCGCGUGGGGGAUGACGGCCUUCGGGUUGUAAACCCCUUUCGGCAGGGACGAAGCUUUUGUGACGGUACCUGCAUAAGAAGCACCGGCUAACUACGUG
rnacentral:rRNA from 1 species